rnacentral:rRNA from 1 species
GCCCUGGCUGGGUGGUCCACCAAUGGAUGGUACUGCUCUGGCUGGGGUUCACCUUCUGGUGAGCCGGAUAUGCUCUUCACUGGGUGGCCGGGGAACCAGGACUUUUACUUUGAAAAAAUUAGAGUGCUUAAAGCAGGCUAACGCUUGAAUACAUUAGCAUGGAAUAACGGAAUAGGACGCUUGAUUCUAUUUUGUUGGUUUCUAGGAUCAACGUA